AGCUUUGCUUGAUGGCCUUCUGAAUUGUCAUCUUGGAGGAGUGAUUGACAAUGGGGAUGACAGUCCUCAGAUGAAGAAGCUGAAGCCCACAGAAAAGUGACUUACUGGAUGUCACAUGGUUAGUGGGUUAGUUGGUAAUAAAAUAUACUCUGAGAUGCUCAGUCACAAAGCAACUGUUAACAAGAAACACAAGAACACCCCACCCAGCUCAGCACAAGGCACAAAUGUUAAGUGGGCCAAGGCUGUCACUGCAGUCUUUUGAGAGCCCUUCUUCCCAGGGAGCCCGCAAACUCACGGGAGAGCCGAGCACUCAGGCAGGUCUAUGAGCUGGAUCUUGAUUUUCGGUUCCACACUGUCUAACCUCUCAGUGAUAUUGUCAGGAGUAGAGAUCAGAACUGGAGGACAAGGAGAGUCAGCACCAAAGAACAGCAACCAUCUCUGCAGAAGUGUCUUACACUAAGAGAUACCCAGUGCCAUCCACAUGCCUACCAUUCAAAUGCUCGCUUGUAUAAAUCCUGAAGUCUAGAACACAAUUGAUAAAAGCUCUAAGCAAAUCUCCAGUUAUUUUGAAGGCAGAAGGGAAGAGGCUGGUCAAUAUGGAGUCCAGAAACACAGAUAUUUAAAAGGUGUCUUCUGGGGGAAGAACCCAUG
rnacentral:lncRNA from 1 species